GGCAUCUGUCCCCGCGACGGCUCCUCCCUGUGUGGUGCGGUCAGUGGGAGCCUCCCAGCAGGCUGGCUGCAGACCUGGCUGGCCGAGUCACCAACUGCCGCCUCCCAUGGGCUGUGGUCACCUGGACAGUCUGGGGCCGGGGGCUGGAGCACGACCCUCCCUGGAGGUGUGGCUGAGCUACCCAGCACUGCCCCAGCGACCAUUUAACCUCCUCUCAGGGUUCCCAGAGCAAAGACAAAAGCGUCCCUGUGUAUAAUUAACCGUCGACUCCAUCCUAGACGUGGGGACAUUGUCACAGUCUCGCCAGCCCCGGAAGGACAGGCAAAUUGCCCUGUUUUCCUCUGGGACCAGAACACUGGAAGUUCCCGCCGGCCACCAAGGGCCACGUGAUGAAGCUUCAGGCCUCGGUGGAGUGGCCAAACGCAACAGUGCCUAAGGGCCACCACUUACGAGACGUUUAGACAGGCGAAACUCACCGAUGGUUCCAGAAUUCAUGACCCAGUGUCCCGUGGGUGGCACAUAGGGAGGCCCAGGUGGGCACAGUCCACGGUGGGGGUGACAUUCUGUUCCUAUGUCCAUGAGCUGGUGAUAUGGGUCUGCUCAGUUUAAGAAAUUUACUGAGCUGACGUUCAUGAUGUCAGCAGGUUUUUAUGAACUGUUAAUUUUCAAUAAGGAAGGGGUCUACUAAAGAUGUAAGAUGGACAAAUGAGACAGAUCACAGGAAAACACGCUAAAAGAUGACA
rnacentral:lncRNA from 1 species